AUUGAACGCUGGCGGCAGGCCUAACACAUGCAAGUCGGGCGAGGGGCGGACGGGUGAGCAAUGUAUGGGGAUCUGCCUGAUGGAGGGGGAUACCUACGGGAAACGGUACCUAAUACCGCAUACCAUCCGAUGCACCCAUAAGGGAUGAGCUUGUAGGUGAGGUAACGGGUCACCUAGGCGAAGAUCCCUAGCUGGUCUGAGAGGAUGAUCAGCCAAACUUGGACUGAGACACGGCCCAGACUCCUACGGGAGGCAGCAGUGGGGAAUAUUGCACAAUGGGCGCAAGCCUGAUGCAGCCAUGCCGCGUGUAUGAAGAAGGCCUUCGGGUUGUAAAGUACUUUCAGUCGGGAGGCGUUACCGACAGAAGAAGCACCGGCUAACUCCGUGCCAGCAGCCGCGGUAAUAC
rnacentral:rRNA from 1 species